rnacentral:rRNA from 1 species
UACGUAGGUGGCAAGCGUUAUCCGGAAUUAUUGGGCGUAAAGCGCUCGCAGGCGGUUUCUUAAGUCUGAUGUGAAAGCCCACGGCUCAACCGUGGAGGGUCAUUGGAAACUGGGAGACUUGAGUGCAGAAGAGGAGAGUGGAAUUCCACGGUGUAGCGGUGAAAUGACGUAGAGAUGUGGAGGAACACCAGUGGCGAAGGCGACUCUCUGGUCUGUAACUGACGCUG